rnacentral:lncRNA from 1 species
UCUGAUUUGAAACAGAGUUACAGUUUACAGUUGUUACUUGUUGUUUUGUUACUGCCUUCUUUGAUUUUGAGAAACCACUUUUUUUUUUUGCUAUCAUGUCGCGGAGAAAGAGCAGUCACGGAAAGUCGCCACGAAGGCGUAAUGUGGUUUUGGGGUUUGACGAAUUUGGUUUCGCUGUGUUAGGUAGAAAAGAUGUGAAAAUAUCGCCAGGCAGAUGUCACGAAUACAGCUACCCCAGACCAAAUGCUGUGAAGGUGAAGGAAUUGUGUCAUUUGCUCAGCUACUGGAAUGGUUCGAGUUUCAUCUGCAAGAACCAGAUUGAGCAAUUUAUUAAAAUAGGGCUUCCACCUGAGUUACGCGGGCGUGCAUGGAAGUCUCUUCUGGAUGUUGAGUCAGUGAAAGGUGGCAGUCCUUUCAAUUAUCAGAACUGUCUCAAAGAAAUUCGAAGGCCUCUCGUUGACCUUGGUGUGACGGAGUAUAGUAUCCGUUCUGCAAUCACCAUUUUGAGUGAAACGGAGAAUGAAAUGAGAUGCACAGAAGAUGGUCCUAAUCCCAGUUGCGAGUUCACCAACAGUGAUGUUGUCAUCUUCAGACAAGUGGCUCUUGACCUCCGUGAGUAUUAAUUUGAAAUCCUAAACAAAGCCUACAUUCAAAAGGAAAAAUAAUCUUAAUCUGUUGUAAUAUG